GAUGAACGCUGGCGGCGUGCCUAAUACAUGCAAGUCGAGCGAACAGACGAGGAGCUUGCUCCUCUGACGUUAGCGGCGGACGGGUGAGUAACACGUGGAUAACCUACCUAUAAGACUGGGAUAACUUCGGGAAACCGGAGCUAAUACCGGAUAAUAUAUUGAACCGCAUGGUUCAAUAGUGAAAGACGGUUUUCCCGUCACUUAUAGAUGGAUCCGCGCCGCAUUAGCUAGUUGGUAAGGUAACGGCUUACCAAGGCAACGAUGCGUAGCCGACCUGAGAGGGUGAUCGGCCACACUGGAACUGAGACACGGUCCAGACUCCUACGGGAGGCAGCAGUAGGGAAUCUUCCGCAAAGGGCGAAAGCCUGACGGAGCAACGCCGCGUGAGUGAUGAAGGUCUUCGGAUCGUAAAACUCUGUUAUUAGGGAAGAACAAAUGUGUAAGUAACUAUGCACGUCUUGACGGUACCUAAUCAGAAAGCCACGGCUAACUACGUG
rnacentral:rRNA from 1 species